rnacentral:rRNA from 1 species
AGAGAGCUUGCUCUCGGGUGACGAGCGGCGGACGGGUGAGUAAUGUCUGGGAAACUGCCUGAUGGAGGGGGAUAACUACUGGAAACGGUAGCUAAUACCGCAUAACGUCGCAAGACCAAAGUGGGGGACCUUCGGGCCUCAUGCCAUCAGAUGUGCCCAGAUGGGAUUAGCUAGUAGGUGGGGUAAUGGCUCACCUAGGCGACGAUCCCUAGCUGGUCUGAGAGGAUGACCAGCCACACUGGAACUGAGACACGGUCCAGACUCCUACGGGAGGCAGCAGUGGGGAAUAUUGCACAAUGGGCGCAAGCCUGAUGCAGCCAUGCCGCGUGUAUGAAGAAGGCCUUCGGGUUGUAAAGUACUUUCAGCGAGGAGGAAGGCGUUAAGGUUAAUAACCUUGGCGAUUGACGUUACUCGCAGAAGAAGCACCGGCUAACUCCGUGCCAGCAGCCGCGGUAAUACGGAGGGUGCAAGCGUUAAUCGGAAUUACUGGGCGUAAAGCGCACGCAGGCGGUCUGUCAAGUCGGAUGUGAAAUCCCCGGGCUCAACCUGGGAACUGCAUUCGAAACUGGCAGGCUAGAGUCUUGUAGAGGGGGGUAGAAUUCCAGGUGUAGCGGUGAAAUGCGUAGAGAUCUGGAGGAAUACCGGUGGCGAAGGCGGCCCCCUGGACAAAGACUGACGCUCAGGUGCGAAAGCGUGGGGAGCAAACAGGAUUAGAUACCCUGGUAGUCCACGCCGUAAACGAUGUCGACUUGGAGGUUGUGCCCUUGAGGCGUGGCUUCCGGAGCUAACGCGUUAAGUCGACCGCCUGGGGAGUACGGCCGCAAGGUUAAAACUCAAAUGAAUUGACGGGGGCCCGCACAAGCGGUGGAGCAUGUGGUUUAAUUCGAUGCAACGCGAAGAACCUUACCUACUCUUGACAUCCAGAGAACUUAGCAGAGAUGCUUUGGUGCCUUCGGGAACUCUGAGACAGGUGCUGCAUGGCUGUCGUCAGCUCGUGUUGUGAAAUGUUGGGUUAAGUCCCGCAACGAGCGCAACCCUUAUCCUUUGUUGCCAGCGGUCCGGCCGGGAACUCAAAGGAGACUGCCAGUGAUAAACUGGAGGAAGGUGGGGAUGACGUCAAGUCAUCAUGGCCCUUACGAGUAGGGCUACACACGUGCUACAAUGGCAUAUACAAAGAGAAGCGACCUCGCGAGAGCAAGCGGACCUCAUAAAGUAUGUCGUAGUCCGGAUUGGAGUCUGCAACUCGACUCCAUGAAGUCGGAAUCGCUAGUAAUCGUAGAUCAGAAUGCUACGGUGAAUACGUUCCCGGGCCUUGUACACACCGCCCGUCACACCAUGGGAGUGGGUUGCAAAAGAAGUAGGUAGCUUAACCUUCGGGAGGGCGCUUACCACUUUGUGAUUCAUGACUGGGGUGAAGUCGUAACAAGGUAACCGUAGGGGAACCUGCGGUUGGAUCACCUCCUUA